rnacentral:rRNA from 1 species
CCUACGGGCCGCAGCAGUGGGGAAUAUUGCACAAUGGGCGCAAGCCUGAUGCAGCCAUGCCGCGUGUAUGAAGAAGGCCUUCGGGUUGUAAAGUACUUCCAGCGGGGAGGAAGGUGUUGUGGUUAAUAACCACAGCAAUUGACGUUACCCGCAGAAGAAGCACCGGCUAACUCCGUGCCAGCAGCCGCGGUAAUACGGAGGGUGCAAGCGUUAAUCGGAAUUACUGGGCGUAAAGCGCACGCAGGCGGUCUGUCAAGUCGGAUGUGAAAUCCCCGGGCUCAACCUGGGAAUGGCAUCUAAGACUGGUCAGCUAGAGUCUUGUAGAGGAGGGUAGAAUUCCAUGUGUAGCGGUGAAAUGCGUAGAGAUGUGGAGGAAUACCGGUGGCGAAGGCGGCCCCCUGGACAAAGACUGACGCUCAGGUGCGAAAGCGUGGGGAGCAAACAGGAUUAGAUACCCCAGUAGUCA